rnacentral:rRNA from 1 species
GACGAACGCUGGCGGCGUGCUUAACACAUGCAAGUCGAACGGUAAGGCCUUUCGGGGUACACGAGUGGCGAACGGGUGAGUAACACGUGGGUGAUCUGCCCUGCACUUCGGGAUAAGCCCGGGAAACUGGGUCUAAUACCGGAUAGGACUGCGCGGUGCAUGCCGUGUGGUGGAAAGAUUUAUCGGUGCAGGAUGGGCCCGCGGCCUAUCAGCUUGUUGGUGGGGUAAUGGCCUACCAAGGCGACGACGGGUAGCCGGCCUGAGAGGGCGACCGGCCACACUGGGACUGAGACACGGCCCAGACUCCUACGGGAGGCAGCAGUGGGGAAUAUUGCACAAUGGGCGCAAGCCUGAUGCAGCGACGCCGCGUGAGGGAUGACGGCCUUCGGGUUGUAAACCUCUUUCAGCAGGGACGAAGCGUGGGUGACGGUACCUGCAGAAGAAGCACCGGCCAACUACGUG